GAUGAACGCUGGCGGCGUACUUAACACAUGCAAGUCGAACGGAAAGGCCCAAGCUUGCUUGGGUACUCGAGUGGCGAACGGGUGAGUAACACGUGGGUGAUCUGCCCCGCACUUCGGGAUAAGCCUGGGAAACUGGGUCUAAUACCGGAUAGGACAGUGGUUUGGAUGCCAUUGUGGAAAGUUUUUUCGGUGUGGGAUGAGCUCGCGGCCUAUCAGCUUGUUGGUGGGGUAAUGGCCUACCAAGGCGUCGACGGGUAGCCGGCCUGAGAGGGUGUACGGCCACAUUGGGACUGAGAUACGGCCCAGACUCCUACGGGAGGCAGCAGUGGGGAAUAUUGCACAAUGGGCGCAAGCCUGAUGCAGCGACGCCGCGUGGGGGAUGACGGCCUUCGGGUUGUAAACUCCUUUCGCUAGGGACGAAGCGUUAUGUGACGGUACCUAGAGAAGAAGCACCGGCUAACUACGUG
rnacentral:rRNA from 1 species